GACGAACGCUGGCGGCGUGCUUAACACAUGCAAGUCGAACGGAAAGGCCCUGCUUUUGUGGGGUGCUCGAGUGGCGAACGGGUGAGUAACACGUGAGUAACCUGCCCUUGACUUUGGGAUAACUUCAGGAAACUGGGGCUAAUACCGGAUAGGAGCUCCUGCUGCAUGGUGGGGGUUGGAAAGUUUCGGCGGUUGGGGAUGGACUCGCGGCUUAUCAGCUUGUUGGUGGGGUAGUGGCUUACCAAGGCUUUGACGGGUAGCCGGCCUGAGAGGGUGACCGGCCACAUUGGGACUGAGAUACGGCCCAGAAUCCUACGGGAGGCAGAAGUGGGGAAUAUUGCACAAUGGGCGGAAGCCUGAUGCAGCAACGCCGCGUGCGGGAUGACGGCCUUCGGGUUGUAAACCGCUUUCGCCUGUGACGAAGCGUGAGUGACGGUAAUGGGUAAAGAAGCACCGGCUAACUACGUG
rnacentral:rRNA from 1 species